UAACUUACCUGGAUGGGUUCAGUGGGUGAUCAAUAAGGUCCAUAGCCUAGGUUAGUGACCUCCAUUACUCUUGUGAGGGGUGCCCAGUGUAAUCUACAUCCUUAUUUGUGUUUUACUUCACUAUAGGAGUGAUA
rnacentral:snRNA from 1 species